CACACACACACACACACACACACACACACACACACACACACACACACACACACACACACACACACACACACACAUACACACACACACACACACACACACACACACACACACACACACACACACACACACACACACACACACACACACACACACACACACACACACACACACACACACACACACACAUCUGUUCAUGUGAGAUAAAAAUCACGGAAAAAAAUGUUUCGAUGACAUCUCCAUGUAUCUGAGGCCACGCCUUCUGGUCUUCGGAAGCCUUAAUGAUUCAAGUCAUUACAAUAAACCUCGGGUCAUUAAGGACUGACCUGAGGAACACACACACACACACACACACACACACACACACACACACACACACACACACACACACAUGUACAAACGAACACACAAUGUCGAGGGGUAUUUAUGGACGUCAAGCCAACAAGCACUUCACAGGCUCUCAAGGUGGUCUCGGGUCAAGAGGUCUCCUGUUCUUGUUUCCCGUAAACAUGAGGACCCCUGUACACCCCUGUAUCAAAUGUUCAUGGUGUAAUAAUUACUUCCCGUUGUCCGCACUCGUAGCUCAUAGGGCGGCCUGCCUUCCAGAGGGCCUUGGGACUGGAUCGAAAGAUAUAUCUACUAGAAACAAUGGUAAGUACUUAAAUGUUUGCGUUACUUUAUAUGAUUGUCAUAAAAAAACAGUAGCAGAUGUGGAUGACGGGAGGGAGGUAGAGAGCUGGGCAGCAUGGGCAAUAUCGACUUUAGUCUUUCUAUCUUUUUUCAGAAGAGACGUCGUCGACUAGCUCUGAUCGAUCAGAUGUCGGUUUCUCUCAACCAGACCCCAGCGAUAUUGGAAGUUGUUCUCCACGGGCGGGUCUCAGCGACGAAGCCAGUCAAAACCAAAGGACUAUCUCCGAAGAAGGCGGGUCUGGUAGGCUCAGCCAUUGGCCCUCCUCUUCAACGAUCGGUAGUGGAGGAAAACGAAAACAAGCGAAUACAGGAACAAACGACACCUGCAGGAAAAAGCAAGCCCGUCG